rnacentral:rRNA from 1 species
AUGUGUAGUGUAAAUAUCAAAGUUUGGAACUGCGAAUGGCUCAUUAUAUCAGUUAUAGUUUAUUUGGUGAAGUGUACUACUUGGAUAACCGUAGUAAUUCUAGGGCUAAUACAUGAGAAAGUCCUCUGGUGAGGUGUGUUUAUUAGAAUGAAAACCAUAUGCUUCGGCAUGAUAGUGAGUAAUAGUAACCUAUCGUAUCGCAUGCUUAAUGUAGCGAUGAGUCUUUCAAGUUUCUGCCCUAUCAGCUUUCGAUGGUAGUAUAUGGGCCUACCAUGGCAGUAACGGGUAACGAAGAAUUUGGGUUCGAUUUCGGAGAGGGAGCCUGAGAGAUGGCUACCACAUCCAAGGAAGGCAGCAGGCGCGUGAAUCACCCAAUCCUGACACAGGGAGGUAGUGACAAUAAAUCACAAUGCGGGACUAUCAGUCUUGCAAUUGGAUUGAGAACAAUGUACAACUCUUAUCGAUAAGCCAUUGGAGGGCAAGUCUGGUGCCAGCAGCCGCGGUAAUUCCAGCUCCAAUAGCGUAUAUAAA